UACGUAGGGGGCAAGCGUUGUCCGGAUUUAUUGGGCGUAAAGAGCGUGUAGGCGGCUUUGCAAGUCCGUUGUGAAACUCGAGGCUCAACCUCGAGACGCCGGUGGAAACUGCAAAGCUAGAGUCCGGAAGAGGAGAGUGGAAUUCCUGGUGGUGAGCGGUGAAAUGCGCAGAUAUCAGGAAGAACACCCGUGGCGAAGGCGGCUCUCUGGGACGGUACUGACGCUGAGACGCGAACGUGGGAG
rnacentral:rRNA from 1 species